rfam:Callithrix jacchus chromosome 21, whole genome shotgun sequence
GCACUGGUGGUUCAAUGGUAGAAUUCUCACCUGCCACACGGGAGGCCUGGGUUUGAUUCCGGCCAAUGCA